UUUACUUUCAUCUUUUAUAUCUUUAUUUACUUUUAUUAUGUUAUUAUUGGCGGAGGCGCGUAAGGCGCGUGUCCGUAUACCGAAUGCUUUGAUCACGUGAUUAUUCAAACCAGGAGACGCGCAAUCUGGAUUAACCGCUGUUCUCCUCAGACGAGUGUUUCGGUGGUAUUAUGAGAUCCCUUUCUUGGUGUGUCUUGAUGUUUUAUAUUGGCUAAAGACAAGAUAUGUCUGCAAAUGCUGGUUCCAUGUCACAUUGCUUAUUCGAGACUAGAUCUACAAAUAACACUGCAG